UACGUAGGGUGCGAGCGUUGUCCGGAAUUAUUGGGCGUAAAGGGCUCGUAGGCGGUUUGUCACGUCAGGAGUGAAAACUCGGGGCUCAACCCCGAGCCUGCUUCUGAUACGGGCAGACUGGAGGUAUGCAGGGGAGAACGGAAUUCCUGGUGUAGCGGUGAAAUGCGUAGAUAUCAGGAGGAAUACCGGUGGUGUAGACGGCUCUCUGGACCGCGACUGACGCUGAGACACGAAAGCGUGGGUAGCAAACAGG
rnacentral:rRNA from 1 species